rnacentral:lncRNA from 1 species
GAUGUGUUUUCUCUCCAAACGAUUAGAGUUAUGGAGAUGAAUAGGUAUUAGGAGAAAUAUUUAAUAUUGUUGAACUAUGGGUGUUAGUGUCCAGGCACUUCCACUGACCUGUUCACAGGGACCUAGCAAUUGCUUCCUCCCUUACCUGAUGCUACCACCAGGUGCUCCAACUGUGCUGGAGAUAGAAAAAUUCACCAGACACCCGAGCUCUCUGUCUGUUCUCUGUGGUCCCUCUCAUGGUUCCCUGCAUCAGUCUUUCCUUCUCUCUCCCUCUCUGCCCCAUUUCUCUGGCCUCGUGACUCUGUUCCCUCACUGUCUGCCUGUUAACAUGUCUACUUGUGUGCCUCCAUCCCUUCCCUGGGUCCUCACUCCUCUCCCCUCCCCCAAUAAACCUCUUUUACACCA